rnacentral:rRNA from 1 species
CUGCGAGUGAAGCGGGAAAAGCUCAAAUUUAAAAUCUGGUGGUUUUGCCAUCCGAGUUGUAAUCUGGAGAAGCGUUUUCUGUGCUGGACCGUGUACAAGUCUCUUGGAACAGAGCGUCAUAGAGGGUGAGAAUCCCGUCCAUGACACGGACGCCCAGUGCUAUGUGAUACGUUUUCAAAGAGUCGAGUUGUUUGGGAAUGCAGCUCAAAAUGGGUGGUAAGCUCCAUCUAAAGCUAAAUAUUGGCGAGAGACCGAUAGCGAACAAGUACCGUGAGGGAAAGAUGAAAAGCACUUUGGAAAGAGAGUUAAACAGUACGUGAAAUUGUUGAAAGGGAAACGCUUGAAGUUAGUCGCGUCUUACUUGACUCAGCCUUGCCUCGGCUUGGUGUAUUUCAUGUGAGACGGGUCAACAUCGAUUUCGACCGGCAGACAAGGGGAGUAAGAAUGUGGCACUCUUCGGAGUGUGUUAUAGCUUAUUCUCAUAUGUGUCGGUUGGGAUCGAGGACCGCAGCGCGCCCUUGUGGCCGGAGGUUCGCCUCACGUUACGCGCUUAGGAUGUUGGCAUAAUGGCUUUAAGCGACCCGUCUUUGAAACACGGACCAAGGAGUCUAACAUGCUCGCGAGUGUUAGGGUGGAAAACCUUGCGCAGAAUGAAAGUAAAAGUUGGGAACCUCCGCAAGGGGGCGCACCGACGCCCGGCCCAGAAGUUUACGGACGGUGCUGCGGUAGAGCGCGUAUGUUGGACCCGAAAGAUGGUGAACUAUGCCUGAAUAGGGCGAAGCCAGGGGAAACCCUGUGUGGAGCCUCGUAGCGAUUCUGACGUGGAAAUCGAUCGUCAAAUUUGG